rnacentral:rRNA from 1 species
GAUGAACGCUAGCGGCAGGCUUAAUACAUGCAAGUCGAGGGACAGCACAGGUAGCAAUACUGGGUGGUAACCGGCAAACGGGUGCGGAACACGUACACAACCUUCCUUUAAGUGGGGGAUAGCCCAGAGCAAUUUGGAUUAAUACCCCGUAAUAUAGUUGAAUGGCAUCAGUUGAUUAUUAUAGCUACGGCGCUUAAUGAUGGGUGUGCGGUUGAGUGAAUAGUUGGCGGGGUAACGGCCAACCAAGUCUACGAUCAGGAGCUGAUGUGAGAGCAGGACCAGCUACACGGGCACUGAGACACGGGCCCGACUGCUACGGGAGGCAGCAGUAUGGAAUAUUGGUCAAUGGACGCAAGUCUGACCCAGCCAUGUCGCGUGAAGGAUUAAUGUCCUCUGGAUUGUCAACUUCUUUUAUUUGGGACGAAAAAGGGUCUUUCUAGACCAACUGACGGUACCAUAUGAAUAAGCACCGGCUAACUCCGUGCCAGCCGCCGCUGUAA